UAAUUGCCUGGAUCACUUUGCCCACUGAUAGCCAGCUAACUCUUCAUUAAAAUGCAGCAGACUUUGUAUUAUGCAGCAACGCUGGACACUACUGAAGUAAAUUCCAGCUCAGGAAAGUACACUUUUCUACCUAGAUUUUGAUGUAGUGUCUGUUGUGCACAUUAACCUUCAGAUCUCAUUUCCCUCCAUUUCCGCAUCUUUGCUACCAGGAUUAAUUUUAGUUGGACAAUGAUUAACAUACCAUGAUGAACACUGCAGAAACAGCUCAAAUUUGGAUCUCCAUCUUUUGGAAAAUUUCACAGGAGAAGCUUUAACUUACAUACCAGGGGAGGUUAACAAAAGAUAUUUCAGGAAAUAUCACAGUCCC